rnacentral:rRNA from 1 species
UACGUAGGCAGCAAGCGUUGUUCGGAAUUACUGGGCGUAAAGAGUGUGUAGGCGGUGCUCUAAGUCUGUUGUGAAAUCUCCCGGCUUAACUGGGAGGGUGCGGCGGAGACUGGAGUGCUAGAGUGUGGGAGAGGUAAGCGGAAUUCCUGGUGUAGCGGUGAAAUGCGUAGAUAUCAAGUGGAACACCAGUGGCGAAGGCGAAUCCCUGGAAAAUACCUGACACUGAGGCACGAAAGCUAGGGGAGCAAACAGG